ACAGUUUUUUAAUAAUUUAUUUAAUAAAUUUUUAAAUUAUUUUAUUUUUUCUUAGUAUUAUUUAGACACGAAAAUUUUAUUUUAACUGUGAAGGUUAAUAUACAUAUGUUUAAUAAGAUUUUUAGUAGUACCUUUUGUAUCAGGGUAGUUUUAAUAAAUCAAAAAAUUUAAUAUUCCCGAAUAGAAAAGUUCUAUAUAAUUAAUUAUUUAUUUGUUUCAAUAAAUUUUUUAAUAAUUAUAUUGUAAUUAAAUGUUAAUCGCUUUUUAUAUAUCUGGUUGUUAAGGAAAUUAAUUCAAUUAAUCAUUAUUUUUAUUUUAUUAUUCAUAUCUCUAUAAUGUAAAGUUAUUAGGGAUAAUCUUAAUAAUUAUUAAUACAAUUUUUUUAAUUAUUUGAUAUUUAUUAACUUUAAAAUUUUGUAUUAAGUUUAUACUAAAUUUAUAUUAAUUUUUAAUUUUUAUUUUUAUUUAAUUUUUUACUUAAUUAAUUAAUAUAAUUAUAUUUUUAUUUAAAUUAUUAUUUAAUUAGUAUAAUAUAUAAUUAAAUUUAAAUGAAUUCGACAAAUAAUUUUUCCAACUGUUUAACAAAAACAUUUCUUUUUGAUUUAUUUAAAAGGUAAAUUCUGCCCUAUGGAUUUCUAAAUGGCUGCAGUAUUUUGACUGUGCAAAGGUAGCAUAGUAAUUAGUUUCUUAAUUAGAAGCUGGUAUGAAUGGAUUAAUGAGAUAAAUAUUUUAUUAAUUUUAUUUUUAAAAAUUAAAUUUUAAGUAAAAAUGCUUAAUUAAUUUCUAGGGACGAUAAGACCCUAUAGAACUUUAUAUAAUAAUAUUUAAUUAAUUUUUAUUUUUAUACUAAAUUAAGUAUUUUUUAUAAUUUGCUGGGGUGGUGAAUAAAUUUUAACUUUAUUAUUAAAUUUCAAUGAUUUAUGUAAAUUUUGAUCCUAAUGGAUUAAAAGAUUAAGUUACCUUAGGGAUAACAGCGUAAUUAAAAUGGAGAGUUCAUAUCUAUAUUUUAUUUUGCGACCUCGAUGUUGAAUUAAGGAAAGGUUGGGAAGCAGAAUUCUCAAGUCUAAGUCUGUUCGACUUUUAAACCCUUACAUGAUUUGAGUUCAAACCGGUGUAAGCCAGGUUGGUUUCUAUCUUAGAAUUAUUAUUAAUUUUUUAGUACGAAAGGACCAAAAAUUUUUACUUUAGGUAAUAUCUAUUU
rnacentral:rRNA from 1 species